GGACCAAUGUUCCAGAUCUCUCGAUGUCACGUCCCACAGCAAGGCUACACUCAACUCAGAUAGUAACAUCAAAAAGCAAACUGCCCAAGAUGAAGUGUGUCCUGUUACCUCCACCUCGCCCUUCCACCAUGACCAUCACCCAUGUCCCUCAUCUAUGAAGAGCACACCAAGACCCGCUGACAAGAUCACCAGCUCUUGCUCCUUCACCCCAGCCUCUUCUCUUAUCCCCUGGUACUCCUACCAUGCUAAGCAUCCAGCUGCCCACGUGACAUCCCUGGACACAAAACUGGGAGGAGAGUCACAGUAGCACACCGUCCUGUGGUAUUUCCAUGAUACAGCGCACAGCCCUGGUCAGUGCUUAUGCUGCUGUUGUUACAGGGACCAAACUUUGGGACGCUUUCCCUACUCUAAAUGACAGGCUUCCUUGACAAUGUGGGACUCACCAUCUCCGCUGCCAGGUUGCUGAGGCGUGUCCCUGCUCUGGAGGAGGCUGCCAGGGUUGGUUCUCCUGACCCUGCCCAUCUGCCAGAGAGGCUUGCAUCAGGCAGACUGCCUGCCCUUUCCUGAUCUGGCUUUGAUGGCCAAGCAUCUCCCCCAUACCUGUUGUGGUAAUGGUGUGGGGGCUCUUGGCAGUGACCUGGAAGAGAGAAAGCUGUUCUGAAGGCAAGCUGCGGAAAGCAUUGUGAAUAUGUCCAGGUGGCCUCUUGCUAGAGACUGGACCUUGUUGUUUUCUCUUUUGUUUGCUUCUUUCAUUUAACCAACACAGACUGAGAACAUCCCUAUGUUGGGAACCUUGCUAGGCACUGUGGGGUGGCACAGAGACCUGCAAGGGUUGGACAGUCCAUGGGGUAAGAACUAUGAAGGCAGAAGGUGGUGAGGAUCGCAGAAGAGCAGAGAGUCUUGCUGGGGACAUGGGGAAAUGAGUCAUUCAUUCUGACUGAUGCUAACCCAGAUGAGGAAGUGUCUGAGCCGGUUCCUGGAAGAUACUGAGGGCUUUGAGAAGUGACAGGGAUGGAAAGGACAAACUUAGCUCAAGGGUAAGGGCAGGUUCAACUCAAGGCAAAGACACCUUGGAUUUCUGCUGAAGAAGAAAGGAAAUACAUCCCUGAAUGGCAGCAGGUGACCAGGGACAAAGCCAAAGCCCAGAGGGAAGAACUGAGAAAAAUCUCAGAGAAAUUAAACAUGAGCUCUGGUUAAGCCAGGCCUGCAGCUUGAUCCACAUGAGUCCUGUGGAGAACUCUAAGCUCCCCUAUGCCCCAUAAACUUUGCAUACACUGUCUACAACCCAGACUUGGCUAACCUUUGGCCUCAGAGAUUGUGUUCUGUUCUGAUUUAAUCUCAGGAUGCCACGCCCACUGUCCCCAGUCUGAUCAUAAGGAACUGUGUGUACCUUCUAACCCAAGACCAUGAAACUGCACACAUUUCAUGAACUUCCAGAUGCUCCAUAAACCUCAGUACCCAAAGUAACCUCUGCAAAUACUCUAGAUAAGCCCUGUGAUGCUGCAGGAAGCCGAAUGACCCGGUCCUGAGCUGGCUUCUGUCACAGAGAGCCUUGAAAAUCUUGACUGAGCUUGAGUUUUAAUCUCAGAAUAAAAUGUUCUUUAAAGGACAAUAAAAUCCAUCACUGCCUGAA